rnacentral:rRNA from 1 species
AUCUGCGACGCUAUAGCUUUGGGUACUUUCAGGACCCGUCUUGAAACACGGACCAAGGAGUCUAGCAUGUGCGCGAGUCAUUGGGACAUAACUAAACCUAAAGGCGUAAUGAAAGUGAAGGUCCGCCUUGCGCGGAUCGAGGGAGGAUGGGCGGUUCGCCCUUAAAGUGGCCGCUCCGCACUCCCGGGGCGUCUCGUUCUCAUCGCGAGAAGAGGCGCACCAAGAGCGUACACGCUGGGACCCGAAAGAUGGUGAACUAUGCCUGGUCAGGACGAAGUCAGGGGAAACCCUGAUGGAGGUCCGUAGCGAU